rnacentral:ncRNA from 1 species
UACCUUAUUGAUUCUGUCAGCGCUAUAUGUUCAGCUAAAAGACUGAGCUAUGCAUCUCGAGUUCAACUUUGGAAUCAAACUGCGAACGGCUCAUCACAGCUGAUGAAAAUUCUUAGGAAUUGUUUCGAUGGAUUACUGCGGUAAGUUUGGAGUUAAUAUAUGCAACAGAAGUUUUGCUUUGUUCUACGAAUUUGCAGAAUUGGAAUAACGCAGCAUAUUCCAAGUGACUGUUCUGUUAAACUCAUGGUAGUGCAUUAGUCUACUAUGGUUAUUACGGCUAACGGAGAAUAAGGGCUCGACUCGGAAGAGGGAGCCUUAGAAACGCUACCACAUCGAAAGAAGACAGCAGUCGCGAAACUUAUCCAAUCUUGGGGAGGUGAGAUAGUGAGCGGUUAAAAAGCUCGUAGUUGGAUCUGAGUUACAUGCAGUGAGUUUCCCUUUGGCGCUAAUCGUUGUUGUGACUCUGUAGAAUAGUUUCUAGUAACGCUUCGAUUUUUCUAGUGAAUAGUGAGUUUGCCUUGAAUAAAUUAGAAUGCUGAAAACAAGUGUUCGCUUGAAUCGCUGACCACGAAAUAAUAGAAGAUGAUUCGAAUUUUAUUGAUCAAUUGGAAAACUGGAAUAAUGGUUGAGAGGGACCGUCCGGAGCAUUCGUAUCGUUGCGCGAGUGAUGAAAUUCGUGAACGUAAACCAUGCCAUUUGACAAUUCGAUGGGGUACUAAUAAUAGGGCGUUGUGAAGCAGCUUCUAAGACACGAAAGUCUUUCGGUUCUUGGGAUAGUAUGACUGCAAAGCUGAAACUUAGGGAAAUUGACAGAAUAGCAAUACCAGGGGUGGAGCCUGCAGUUUAAUUUGACUCAACACAGUUAA